AUGACGAUGGUGAUUUCUACUGGGACAUCGCCGAUGGAACGGCGGACCUACAGGCCAUCGAGUCGGCAAGAGCCAUACCGCAUCCGUCCACCGCCGACCCUGCGGGCUGCCUCACCACCUGCAUCAGGAUUCAGGAUUGCGCCCCAUUCUUCUCCUCGGCGACGGCGGCGGUGGCGGGCCGGCAGGCGGGGAAGCGAGCCAGGAACCCUAACAGUUUCUGAUGGGAAAGGUAGGCCAGCGACGAUGGCGCGUCUCUCCGUGUGGCGGCGACGAGAAUCCUGCGUCCGGCGGUGCUUCAUGGGGAGGAGCUUCACCGGUUUGUCCAUACCGAGCAUGGCCAUCUCAGCCAUUCUGAGCACCUACGCCUCACCACAGGCCACCGAAAAUGCUAAGCAUAAGUUGCACGAUGUUGUGAUCGAAAUCCCCAACCGGCUUCCGCACAGUGAGCUCAUUGGGAGAAUUCUGAAGCCAGGCCUUGAGAGAGUCUGGAAGUACAAAGUGCAGAACAAAAUCUGGACUGUUGACCAGCUUGCAAUCCGGGGAAGUCCCCACUCGCCGAUGUGCAAGAUGUGCAACCUGAUGCCUGAAUCUGCGGCUCAUUUAAGUUGUGCUUUUGCGAGUCAGAUCUGCCAGUUGCUGUCCCUGGUGACCCCUUCCAUUGUGCCUGCAGGUUUAAUCGAGAACUCAAUUAUGUUGUGGUGGGCCAAGGUAUUUGCAAUGGCGCCGGUUGUCAAUAAAAGGAGGCCGCUGGAUUGGGCCCUGGACACAGUUUGGAAUCUGUGGAAAGAACGCUACAUGUGA
rnacentral:rRNA from 1 species